GGCAGGGGUGUGGAGCUCCUUUAAAGAUGAUUUGUGAGGCUGAUGUCUUACUUUUGCAUCUAGUCCUGUGCUUGGAUUCCUUCAAACAUUUAGAAGUCUUAGGACAUUUGUAAGUGGACAUCAUAGUAGCCCAUGUACUACUGCGUUUCUCAAAGGCAUUCGGGGUAAGAUAACACAAAAGAAGGGCUUUAGGGAAGAUUUCAGACUGGAAGAAGACCUUCAGAAUUCCAUGAUUCCACUUUAAGAACUUAGGAACUCAUUAAGUUCUCCUUGGGAGGAAAGUAGGAAUGUGUCCUGCUCAUCACGAUUUGAGCACACUGAUUAUUGAACAUACUGAAGGAGGAUGUUACAAUACCUUCAACAACUUCACUAAAACAAGAGUCUGGGCUUUACUAGGCCAGAGUCAAGCACUACAGGUGUGAAGGACUUGCCUUGCCAAGCACUGCCAAGUACUUUGAAACAGCAGUGAGAGGAGGCAGAAGCCAGAAUACAAGAGCCAUAUUUAUAAUGCUCCAGACUCUGGUUUUUCACCCUGCUAACUCCUCUGAUGAAAUGAGCAGAAAUUAAUGAAUGCUGAUGCCACGGUGCCAGGCCCUGAUCCAAGAACUGGGAGUAAAGAAUAAGCUUGACAAUGCUUUCAUGGUGCUUCCAUUAGCAAGUCUUCAUUAUGACUGGACCUGCUCUUGAGUCUAAAUAAUUUUUAAAGCCAUCUUUAAGUUCUGCCUAAAGCAGGCUUAAUUUUAUGUCAGUUCACAUAGGUAUCGGGGUCCUUGGCUGAGCUUGGUAAUGUUGCGUGAACUUCCAUUGUUCCAUAACGCUUGAUUUUCUCCACUGACAGAAUGAUGGUGUGGCACCAGGUUUUCCUGUCAAGUUGAUUGAUCUGAUCGUAUGCAUUUUCAUUGGCAGAGCUGUUAUCUCAGUUAUCAGGAGUGAGACGUUCUGCAGGGGGACAGCUUAACUCUUCAGGCCCUUCCGCUUCUCAGUUGCAACAACUGCAGAUGCAGCUGCAGCUUGAGCGACAGCAUGCACAGGCAGCCCGGCAACAACUGGAGACUGCUCGCAACGCAAGUCGGCGCACUAACACAAGCAGCGUCACCACUACGAUCACACAGGCCACGGCCACAGCCAACACAGCCAACACAGAGAACAGCCCGCAGGCCCUCCACAACUCCCAGUUCCUGUUAACAAGGUAUUUUGUUUACUAGUGUGUUUCGGGUAAAGUAAAUGUUGGUGUUUGUGUUUACAAGGUAUAAAUCAUUGUUAGAAAUAAUUUUCUUUUACAUACUACACAUAACACUUAAAAUACUGUAUCAUUUCAUUUAUAUUUACACACUUUUAUUAGCUAAAUUUAUUUAAUAAUUUAUAUUGCUUCUAGUUUUCCAUUAAAGUCUGCCGAGACAGAAAGAACAAAAGAGGGAUUAAUGGAUGGCACAGUGGGUAGUGUUCACUGCACCAGCAUGAGGACCUCAGUUCAGAUCCCCACACCUAUGGGAAAAGGGGGUUCUGUUGCCAUAGCCCUAAGAGGUGGAAACGAAAGGAUCCUGGUAGGCUCCCUGACCAUCAGUUGAGCCAGUUGGUAAGGUUCAAGUUUAGUGAGAAAGGUAGCAAGCAGUAGACUCACUCAGAACUUGGAGCCUUGCUCUUUUUUUCCUGAGGAGACCUGGCUUCAGUUCCCAGCACCCACAUGACAGCUCACAACCUGCCCAGUGACUUCACCAUCUUCUGGUCUCUUCAGGUACUAGGCAUGCACACGAUGCACAUGCAUACAUGUUGGCAAAACAUUCAUUCACAUAAGUCGUUCUGAAAAUAGUAACAUGAAAAUUAGUCUAUGGCAUAGUUAACUUGGACUUGGGAAUGUAGCUAGGUUGGAACAGUGCUUGCCUGGCAUGCACAAAACCUGGGACGAGUCUCCAGUAUUAAAUACACCAGCCAUAGCGCUUCCCUGUGAUCCCAACACUUGGAAAAGGGAGGAAGAUCAGGAUUUCAAGGGCCAGCUUGGCUACAUGAAAAUCAAGUUUCUAAACUAUAAUGUGUAUGGUGAUUCUUUGGGACUUUACAAGAAACUACAAUUUCUCCUUUCUUCUUGCACUUAAAUCCCUCAGUGCAGUAGAACGUGUGUGUAGGUGGAACACAAUGCAUAGUAGAGUGCUUAGGCAGGCAUAGAAUGAGAAGUGCUCAAACAAGAUCCUAUGGUUAGAGUCCCAGCUUUGCCACUUAAAACAUUUAGCCCUAAGACAAAUCUUUUCCUAUCUUUAGUUUUAUCAUCAGUACCCUAUUCAGGAAUCCUGCCAGUUAUGAGGGAUUAUUAAAAAUACUGAUCAUUGUCAUUUAUUGUGAAUUUAAGGAGGCAUUUUUCAGAGUGGUUUAUCUUUGCAGUAGCCUAUAAGGCCAGUGAGUACCUCUUACCACCAGGCAAGAGUGGGUCAGUGUAAGCUGCAUAAGGCUCUGCCUGCUGCCAUCAUUACCUUCCUACAGAGACUGAACAACAGCUGUGCCCUUUGAAGUCUGGGCACCCACCUGAAACACGCCUGCCAGUGUGUGUCUCCCUGGAAGUUGGCUGCACUGUGGGUGAAAUAUCUUGCCAAGAAAAGGACGUCUUACUAGCCAGGCAUGGAGGUUCAUGUCUUUAAUCCCAGCAUUCAGGAGGGUGAAUAGAGAGAGAAUCUCUUAUGUACUGUGUGGAAGAAUCACCUAUCAAUAAAAAACUGAUGGCCUAUUAGCUGAGGUAGAAAAUAGAAGGUGGGACAUCUGGCAGAGAGAGAGGAUUCUAGGAAGAGUUAAAAGUAGGAGAUUCACCCCAAAUUCUGAGGAAGUCAGAUGCAUGAAACUUCGAGGUAACCAACUGUGUGGCAUAGACUAAAAUAAAUGGAUUAUGUAAGUUACAAAUAGUUGGAAUGAGCCAAAGCUUAUGGUCUAGGCAUUUAUUCAUAUAGGAGCAUAUCUAAUUCUCAGAGUCAUUAUUUCUGGGAACAAAGAGAAAAGCUCAUGGCUACAGAUGAAGCCAGAGUUCGAGGCCAGUCUAUGUACUGCAAAAUUGUGCAUCC
rnacentral:lncRNA from 1 species